UGGGGAAUAUUGGACAAUGGGGGCAACCCUGAUCCAGCAAUGCCGCGUGUGUGAAGAAGGUUUUCGGAUUGUAAAGCACUUUCGACGGGGACGAUGAUGACGGUACCCGUAGAAGAAGCCCCGGCUAACUUCGUGCCAGCAGCCGCGGUAAUACGAAGGGGGCUAGCGUUGCUCGGAAUGACUGGGCGUAAAGGGCGUGUAGGCGGUUUGUACAGUCAGAUGUGAAAUCCCCGGGCUUAACCUGGGAGCUGCAUUUGAUACGUACAGACUAGAGUGUGAGAGAGGGUUGUGGAAUUCCCAGUGUAGAGGUGAGAUUCGUAGAUAUUGGGAAGAACACCGGUGGCGAAGGCGGCAACCUGGCUCAUUACUGACGCUGAGGCGCGAAAGCGUGGGGAGCAAACAGGAUUAGAUACCCUGGUAGUCCACGCUGUAAACGAUGUGUGCUAGAUGUUGGUCAACUUAGUUGUUCAGUGUCGCAGUUAACGCGUUAAGCACA
rnacentral:rRNA from 1 species